rnacentral:rRNA from 1 species
GAUGAACGCUGGCGGCGUGCUUAACACAUGCAAGUCGAACGGUGAAGCAGGAGCUUGCUCCUGCGGAUCAGUGGCGAACGGGUGAGUAACACGUGAGCAAUCUGCCCUGGACUCUGGGAUAAGCGUUGGAAACGACGUCUAAUACCGGAUACGAGACGCGAAGGCAUCUUCAGCGUCUGGAAAGAACUUCGGUCCAGGAUGAGCUCGCGGCCUAUCAGGUAGUUGGUGAGGUAAUGGCUCACCAAGCCUACGACGGGUAGCCGGCCUGAGAGGGUGACCGGCCACACUGGGACUGAGACACGGCCCAGACUCCUACGGGAGGCAGCAGUGGGGAAUAUUGCACAAUGGGCGCAAGCCUGAUGCAGCAACGCCGCGUGAGGGACGACGGCCUUCGGGUUGUAAACCUCUUUUAGCAGGGAAGAAGCGAAAGCGACGGUACCUGCAGAAAAAGCACCGGCUAACUACGUGCCAGCAGCCGCGGUAAAAC